CCUGCCCUUAGAAGCAUUGCAGGUGUGGUUGCUGUGUCACAUGUGCAUCAGUAGGUGGCAAAGAGGACAGAGGUGAUGUCUGUGCUCAGUGUUCUGACCUAUGAACAUCUUUUGAUUGGUAGCCUAACAUU